rnacentral:rRNA from 1 species
GGCUGCAGUCGGAGCCAGCAAUGGGCGUGGCGCAAGGGUGAGUAGGGCGACGGCAACCAACCCCGAGGCCGGGCAUAGCCGCCCGAAAGGGCGGGUAAUUCCCGGCGGCCUCGCGUGGGGGCAUCCCCGUGCGAGUAAAGGUGCGAUUCCGCCUCGGGACGGGCCGUCGUGGUAUCAGGUAGUUGGCGGGGUAGCGGCCCACCAAGCCUUCGACGCCUACCGGGCGUGCGAGCGUGGCCCGGCACACUGGGACUGAGACACUGCCCAGACACCUACGGGUGGCUGCAGUCGAGAAUCUUCGGCAAUGGGCGCAAGCCUGACCGAGCGACGCCGCGUGGAGGACGAAGGCCUUCGGGUUGUAAACUCCUGUCGAGGGGGAGCAAGGCCGCGCGAAGAGCGCGGCUCGAGCGAUCCCUGGAGGAAGCACGGGCUAAGUUCGUGCCAGCAGCCGCGGUAAGACGAACCGUGCGAACGUUAUUCGGAAUCACUGGGCUUAAAGCGCGUGUAGGCGGGCCGGCACGUCGGGUGCUGAAAGCCCCCGGCUCAACCGGGGAAGCGGCCUCGAUACGACCGGCCUGGAGGGGGGUAGGGGGAGCCGGAACUUCCGGUGGAGCGGUGAAAUGCGUUGAGAUCGGAAGGAACGCCCGUGGCG